GACUGUAAGAAAAACCCAAUGAUACUCCAUUCAGUUAUUCUGCUCUCUGCUUUGGCAUUUGUCAGUAAUGGAGAUACCAUUAAACCAGAAAAAACAGAGGAGUUUGUCGCAGAGGGUUCAAGCGUUACCUUAUCCUGCAGUUAUUCAUCUGCAUGGUCCUUACUUUGGUACCGUCAGUAUCCCGGAUCAGCUCCUGAGUUCCUUGUGCUUAUCUCAGAUGGAGUUAAAGAACCUAAGACAUCUGCUGUGGAUCAAAGAUUCAGUACUAAUAAUAGAAAAGAAGAACAAAAUCAUGUGGAUCUAAUCAUCUCCUCUACUGCUGUAACAGACUCUGCUCUGUACUACUGUGCUCUGCAGCCCACAGUGACAGGAAACACAAGAACACUGUACAAAAACCUGACUCUAAAAAGUAACAAUAGUCUUCAACAGACAGAGAGAAAUGUGACACAUAAAUACCCCUCUGGUAUCUAAGCAUUUUGCCAAUUCACAAAAGAAUAAAACAAUAUGACAGAAAUCAACUUUUCACAUGCAAAAUGUGAUCAAUACAUUGUAUA